rnacentral:rRNA from 1 species
GACGAACGCUGGCGGCGUGCUUAACACAUGCAAGUCGAGCGGUAAGGCCCUUCGGGGUACACGAGUGGUGAACGGGUUAGUAACACGUGGGUGAUCUGCCCUGCACUUCGGGAUAAGCCUGGGAAACGGGGUCUCAUACCGGAUAGGACACUGGGUAGCAUGUCCUGGGGUGGAAAGCUUUUGCGGUGUGGGAUGGGCCCGCGGCCUAUCAGCUUGUUGGUGGGGUGAUGGCCUACCAAGGCGACGACGGGUAGCCGGCCUGCGAGGGUGACCGGCCACACUGGGACUGAGAUACGGCCCAGACUCCUACGGGAGGCAGCAGUGGGGAAUAUUGCACAAUGGGCGCAAGCCUGAUGCAGCGACGCCGCGUGAGGGAUGACGGCCUUCGGGUUGUAAACCUCUUUUAGUAGGGAAGAAGCGAAAGUGACGGUACCUGCAGAAGAAGCACCGGCUAACUACGUGCCAGCCGCCGCAGUAA